rnacentral:rRNA from 1 species
UUGAUCUCAAAUUAGGCAGGAUUACCCGCUGAACUUAAGCAUAUCAAUAAGCGGAGGA